ACAGGGUCUAUAAAGGGAACAUUGACACAUACAGAGGAGCUGGGGAUGGGGACAAUGACACACUAAGGUGGUGGGGGAGAAAGAGACACAUAAUGGGCUGGAGGGAAAUAAGAGAUACACAGAGUGGGAAAGAAAGAGAAAAAUAAGGGGGUGUAAGACACAAAGUGAAAAAAGGGAGAUACACUAAAUGGGAUGUAAGACACAAAAGGUGGGUAAUAUG